CUUCCAGCCAUGUGAACACGUGUCUGCUUCCCCUUUGCUUUCCUCUAUAACUAGAAGUUUCCUGAGGCCUCCCCAGAAGCAGAAGCCUCUACAGCCUGAAGAACUUGAGACUGUUCACAUGGAUCUCAAACAAGCUCUUCAAUCAAAGCUACCUAAAAUUAUCACCAUUUGCUAAUAUACCAUGGCCUUCAAGUCAACAAGUUCUGAUAAAUUCUUAUCAGAAAACCUGGCCCAUACAGAGCUUACACCUAUGACCUUGGCUUCGUGGGCACCAUGAUCUCAGCAAUGCAUCUAUCAUGCCUGCCUUUGGACCUAAUGAGUAUGAACCACAUUACAUCACAGAAGAGUGCCAGGGUCAA